ACCUGAAACCGUGUACGUACAAGCAGUGGGAGCCCCACCACUAAGCCAGUGGUGAACUCCACAUACGCAUCCUUCGCUGAGGAUACGGUUAACGGAGCGAAAGCGACGUUCAACCGCAAAAGAAGCAGAGGGGGCUUAGUGGUGGGGUGACUGCGUACCUUUUGUAUAAUGGGUCAGCGACUUAUAUUCUGUAGCAAGGUUAACCGUAUAGGGGAGCCGUAGGGAAACCGAGUCUUAACCGGGCGUUAAGUUGCAGGGUAUAGACCCGAAACCCGGUGAUCUAGCCAUGGGCAGGUUGAAGGUUGGGUAACACUAACUGGAGGACCGAACCGACUAAUGUUGAAAAAUUAGCGGAUGACCUGUGGCUGGGGGUGAAAGGCCAAUCAAACCGGGAGAUAGCUGGUUCUCCCCGAAAGCUAUUUAGGUAGCGCCUCGUGAAUUCAUCUCCGGGGGUAGAGCACUGUUUCGGCUAGGGGGCCAUCCCGGCUUACCAACCCGAUGCAAACUGCGAAUACCGGAGAAUGUUAUCACGGGAGACACACGGCGGGUGCUAACGUCCGUCGUGAAGAGGGAAACAACCCAGACCGCCAGCUAAGGUCCCAAAGUCAUGGUUAAGUGGGAAACGAUGUGGGAAGGCCCAGACAGCCAGGAUGUUGGCUUAGAAGCAGCCAUCAUUUAAAGAAAGCGUAAUAGCUCACUGGUCGAGUCGGCCUGCGCGGAAGAUGUAACGGGGCUAAACCAU
rnacentral:rRNA from 1 species